rnacentral:lncRNA from 1 species
CACAGGAAGAUGGCCUGAGUCUCAAAUAUAACAGAUGAUAGUUUAGCUAUUUUGCUAACUUGCCAGAUAGAGGGGUCCUCACUAUCCCUCACCUCUCUCCUUUGGCCAAGCCAAGUCUAUAUUUUAGGAUCUGUUACCUGUUAUGUGAUUAAACAUUCUUGGCAAGAAUACUCUAUUGGUGGUGCUGUGCUUUCUCAAGGGAUCAUAUCAAGAGGAAGAGGAAAUUGGUAACACAGUGGACAAGCACACUACUAUGGCUUGAAAGAAGUUUGGGGAGCUGAUAAAAUCGAGUUUCUGAUUUGCAAAACUGAGGGCCAGAUGAUAA